ensembl:lncRNA
AAGUGUGGUGGAAAGAUGGAUGGAGUGAGAGUGUUAAUGGUGGAAAGAUGGAUGGAGUGAGAGUGUUAAUGGUGGAAAGAUGGAUGGAUGGAGGGAGAGUGUUAAUGGUAGAAAGAUUGAUGGAAAGAUGGAUGGAGUGAGAGAUUAAAGAGUAAAGAUAAGAGUAAAGGUUAAUGUUGCAGAAUGUAAGAGAUGUAUGUUAUCUGUAUUUAGAGCUCUUCGGUGCUGGUGGCUCAGGAUGACGGCAGCAGGAACGAGAACGAAGGAACUGCAAAUGACGGCAGCUCCACGACGUCCUCGAGUCCCUUCAACUCUCGCCAUCGCCGCUUCCUCAGUAAGAACCUCUCCAAGAGAGAGGACAGGAGCGACGCUGCAGACCCUCACGUUUCCUGGAGUCGACUCUGCUGAAGAUUUAGAGAAGCUCGUGCACGCUCAGCUGGAGGACACGUCUGAAGGCGUGACGUACGAGGAGCUGAUGAAGAUCUUCGGCACGUCCGCUCCGGAUUCCCGUCUCCUCGAGCCGUACGACGUGGAUCAGGACCACAGGUACACGCUGGAGGAGCUCCGGGCCGCCGCUUCGCUCUGAGGAACCGUGCAGUCGGUCGCGUGAAGAACAUUUAAGACUGCGCCGUCAACGAGCGGCAGGAGGAUGACACGUGGCCCUCGGCGUGAACUAUCCUAGCUGUGGCUGACACAACUGCUGCUCCAUUCCUUUUUUUUUUUCUUUUUCUUUUCUUUUCUCUUUCGAUUCAUUCCUUUACACCGGUAUUGGAGAGAUUUGAACCAUCAUCCUGCAGAGAAACGACUUGUAUGAAGAUAUGAAGGUUUUUAUUAAUAAUCACGAAUGCGUAAAGCUAAUCAGAACACGUAUAUUAGAGAUUCGGGUUGAUUACUUCGAUACCGAGCCUCAAAAUUCAAAGACGAGCCUAGAUUUACGUUGUUUUAACAUGUUUGCCCCCCCCCCCCCCCCCCCAGCCCCCGUAUAGGAUCAAAACACAUUCCUUUUCAUAUUUAGGUGGAAUCUGGGAGGCUGUGAGGAAAUGCAUUGGAAAUCAUUUAACACACUAUUUAAUUGUGUAUUUAGCAAAAUGUAGCAAUAAUAUAUUACUCUUAAGGCUUAUUGGGUAUAUGAUGUGUUACUGUGUGUACAGUAUUCUGCAGUAAUGUAUUAAGGACCAGUUUCUACAGAAAAAAAGAGUGAUACUUUCAGCCGAAACGAUCAGGCGUAGUAGCGAGAGCUACUGAUGCUGUUUUAAGGUGAAUGUUCACUUCAACAGGUAGUGAAUGAAACACUGAUUAGGCAUGUAUGUAUUUCUGUAUGUAUUUUUAAUGCUAACAUCACACACACACACACACAUUCAUUCCAGUCAGCUUCUACCAGGGUGUGCAAACUUAAAACAACCCGGGAGAUGAUAUAAACUCGCGACCAAAGUUGCCAUGUCAUGAGAAAAAAAAACGAUAAAAGAAAAGAGUUCCUGCUUUCGGUAUGUAAACAGAGCAUUUAGUUCCCAUCUAUGAAGUGUUAAUGGUAUUAAUUCUUUUCUUUUUUUUUGGGGUGUGUGUGAAGAAUUAAAAGAAGAAAACAAUACCUUGUGAGAUUGCCUUUUAAGGAAGGUCAGGGGGUGGGGCUAUGUUCCAGCCCAGAAUCGCAAGCGUGAAUUACAGCAGAGUUCAAAUCUGUUGCAUGGUAAUAUUGCAAAUCAGACUUUUUUUUUCUUUUUCUUUUUUUUUACAGCGUCUUUAAAAAUUGCGAACGCAACACACAGAAACAUUUUUCAAAAUUACACACCGCACCUUUAAUUUGUCAGGAGUCACUGACUCUAAUGAAGGAGUAGGAUUAGUGAGUGAUGAAAUAGUGCUGUUCUGGCAACAGGAAGUGCUCACAAUUCACCUUAGUUGUGAUGGUGGCAAUGAAGCAGGACUACUAUUAAUAAUAAUAAUAUUUUAACUUCCAUGUCUGGAAGUUAAGACACAAAAGUUUGUACACCCCUAUGUUUAGCAAUGUAAAUAUGCUGUAUGAAUUGUGGACUCACUUGAGUAUCAAUCUCAGAUACUUCCUGUGUGUAGGCUGAUGCUCAGACCGGACUUUUAUCUGCUUCCUGGUGUUAAUAAAUGAUUGUUGAUGUGAAAGAAUGGUUCAGGGAACCUGCUCGUGUAAAAUAUUCAGCGCUGUACAUUAGCAUAAUGAAUGCGUUUAUGCUCAGCAUGUUGCUUUUUUAAUGUAACAUGUAUAAAGGCCUAAUUUAUCCGAAGGCGUUUUCACUGUCUUUUCUUUUCUCUUUGUCUGAUUGGAUGUUUAAAAAGAAAAAGCAUGCGAUGCUUUUCUGGUGUUCGUGGUUAUAAUGAGUGAAGGUGGGAUGGUAAAAUACCUCCAGACAGGUCGGCAUGGAAACUAAAGUCAGCUUUUAAUUGAAAUUAAUCAGGUUAGCUUAGUAACCAGUAAAAUAAAAGGUAGUUAUUAUGACCCUGCAGUUGAAUUCUCAAAUCUGAUUGGCCAUUGACUAACAAUUAACCCUGACUUCCUGUUUCACUGGGGUACAAAUAAGAGGUAACAAAUAGGGCAAAUUCCCUUAGUCAUUCAUAACAAUGGGUAAGAGUGAGGAAUAUAGCUGUGAUGUGCGGAAAAAGGUUGUUGAGCUUCACAGAAUGGGACGUGUCUAUAAGAAAAUAGCACAAGCAUUGAAAACGCCCAUUUCCACCAUCAGGGCAAUGAUUAAGAAGUUCCAGUCAACUGGAAAUGUUAUGAAUAAACCUGGAAUUGGUCGUGUGUCUAUAUCGUCUCAACGCACUGUGAAGAGGACGGUUCGAGAGGACAAAAAAUCUCCAAGGAUCACAGCUGGAGAAUUGCAGAUGUUAGUUGCGUCUUGGGGUCAGAACGUCUCCAAAACUACAAUCUGAAGUCACCUACAUCACCACAAGUUGUUUGGAAGGGUUUCAAGAAACAAGCCUCUACUCUCAUCCAAAAACAAACUCGAGCGUCUUCAGUGUGCAGACACUACUGGAACUUCAAAUGGGAUCGGGUUCUACGGUCAGAUGAAACCAAAAUAGAGCUUUUUGGUAAUAAACACCAGAGGUGGUUUUGACACACAGAGAGGUAGCCGUAUGGAAAAGUACCUCAUGCCCUCGGUUAAAUAUGGAGGUGGAUCUUUA